GAUGAACGCUGGCGGCGUGCCUAAUACAUGCAAGUCGAGCGAACGGACGAGAAGCUUGCUUCUCUGAUGUUAGCGGCGGACGGGUGAGUAACACGUGGAUAACCUACCUAUAAGACUGGGAUAACUUCGGGAAACCGGAGCUAAUACCGGAUAAUAUUUUGAACCGCAUGGUUCAAAAGUGAAAGACGGUCUUGCUGUCACUUAUAGAUGGAUCCGCGCUGCAUUAGCUAGUUGGUAAGGUAACGGCUUACCAAGGCAACGAUGCAUAGCCGACCUGAGAGGGUGAUCGGCCACACGGGAACUGAGCCACGGUCCAGACUCCUACGGGAGGCAGCAGUAGGGAAUCUUCCGCAAUGGGCGAAAGCCUGACGGAGCAACGCCGCGUGAGUGAUGAAGGUCUUCGGAUCGUAAAACUCUGUUAUUAGGGAAGAACAUAUGUGUAAGUAACUGUGCACAUCUUGACGGUACCUAAUCAGAAAGCCACGGCUAACUACGUG
rnacentral:rRNA from 1 species